rnacentral:rRNA from 1 species
CAUGGGUAGCAAACAGGAUUAGGUACCCUGGUAGUCCAUGCUAUAAACUAUGAAUAUUAAAUAUUAUAAAAUAUUUUUAAAUAAUAUAAAAAGUUAACACGUGAAAUAUUUCGCCUGGGGAGUAAAACCGCAAGGUUGAAACUCAAAGGAAUUGACGGGAGCUUAUACGUACGGUGGAGCAUGUGGUUUAAUCCGAUAGUCCGCGUGAAAUCUUACCAAUUUUUGACAGUUAUAAUAUUUUGGAAUUAUAAAACAGGUGUUGCAUGGUCGUCGUCAGCUUUUAUUUUGAAAUUUAGAUAUAAGUUUAACCCUUGUAUUAAGUUGCUAUUAUUUAAAAUAAAUUAUAAGUUAGUAAAUAAGUACUCUUAAUAACUAAAUUUAAAUUGAGAGAAGAUUUAUAAAUUUGAAUUUACAAAGGAUGAAGAUAGAUCGUUAUGACCCUUAUAAAUU